UUUGCCCAUUGCCCUGCGGAUGCCACUGAUGAUGUGAUACAGGCACAUGCUCGUGUCUACAUGUGGUACGUUGUCUCGAGGAUUUUGUUUCCUGACUCCACGGGCAAGAACGCUCCAUGGAUGUGA
rnacentral:rRNA from 1 species